GAUGAACGCUGGCGGCGUGCCUAAUACAUGCAAGUCGAGCGAACAGACGAGGAGCUUGCUCCUCUGACGUUAGCGGCGGACGGGUGAGUAACACGUGGAUAACCUACCUAUAAGACUGGGAUAACUUCGGGAAACCGGAGCUAAUACCGGAUAAUAUAUUGAACCGCAUGGUUCAAUAGUGAAAGACGGUUUUGCUGUCACUUAUAGAUGGAUCCGCGCCGCAUUAGCUAGUUGGUAAGGUAACGGCUUACCAAGGCAACGAUGCGUAGCCGACCUGAGAGGGUGAUCGGCCACACUGGAACUGAGGCACGGUCCAGACUCCUACGGGAGGCAGCAGUAGGGAAUCUUCCGCAAUGGGCGAAAGCCUGACGGAGCAACGCCGCGUGAAUGAUGAAGGUCUUCGGAUCGUAAAACUCUGUUAUUAGGGAAGAACAAAUGUGUAAGUAACUAUGCACGUCUUGACGGUACCUAAUCAGAAACCCACGGCUAACUACGUG
rnacentral:rRNA from 1 species